rnacentral:lncRNA from 1 species
AUGAUGUUAAUUUCUGGAAGCACCUGGUCAGAUUCCACCGUCACCUCUUCAUCAUCCCUCGAGCUGCCACGGAGGCUGGUGCCGGUUCCAGCUGGGAAGGGGGGAACAAAAGAAAAAGAGAGAGAGCAGGAGGGGCAGAAGAACAUAUUAGCACGGAGUGGAAGUGAAGCCCCAGAAGAUGGACCGUCACCUAUGCUCGUGCCUCCUGAGCAAAGCAAGUUUUGGAUGGGGAAGUUCUGCCCUGCUCACACACCUUAUCUCCUUGUGAUCGAAGGUCAUCCGCUGCAGCAGCUAGGCCGUGUUUGUCCACCUCCCCUCUUUCUGCGGAUUCGGUGCCGGCUUUUCAAGAGAUGGCUUCAGACUGUGCCCCUUACUCACCGAGGCGUCCCUUAAAGUUCGCUUUCAGCUUGGCAUGAUGUGAUCAGAGAUGACAUCGCAUUGUUCUUGGGACAGGGUAGGUAGGAAAAAAAAAAAAAAAAGCUGAAAAAGGACUGUGAAAUUCGUAGCUCAGAGCUAUUGAAAGACCCAGGUGGGAGGG